GACGAACGCUGGCGGCGUGCCUAAUACAUGCAAGUCGAGCGGAUGAUGGAGGAGCUUGCUCCUCCUGAUUCAGCGGCGGACGGGUGAGUAACACGUGGGCAACCUGCCCUGUAGAUUGGGAUAACUCCGGGAAACCGGGGCUAAUACCGAAUAAUCCUUCGGACCUCAUGGUCCGAUGUUGAAAGACGGUUUCGGCUGUCACUACAGGAUGGGCCCGCGGCGCAUUAGCUAGUUGGUGAGGUAACGGCUCACCAAGGCCACGAUGCGUAGCCGGCCUGAGAGGGUGAUCGGCCACACUGGGACUGAGACACGGCCCAGACUCCUACGGGAGGCAGCAGUAGGGAAUCUUCCACAAUGGACGAAAGUCUGAUGGAGCAACGCCGCGUGAGUGAAGAAGGUUCUCGGAUCGUAAAACUCUGUUGUGAGGGAAGAACAAGUACCGGAGUAACUGCCGGUGCCUUGACGGUACCUCAUUAGAAAGCCACGGCUAACUACGUGUCAGCAGCCGCAGUAAAAC
rnacentral:rRNA from 1 species